rnacentral:rRNA from 1 species
UACGUAGGGUGCGAGCGUUGUCCGGAAUUACUGGGCGUAAAGAGCUCGUAGGCGGUUUGUCGCGUCGGCCGUGAAAACUUGGGGCUUAACCCCAAGCCUGCGGUCGAUACGGGCAGACUUGAGUUCGGCAGGGGAGACUGGAAUUCCUGGUGUAGCGGUGAAAUGCGCAGAUAUCAGGAGGAACACCGGUGGCGAAGGCGGGUCUCUGGGCCGAUACUGACGCUGAGGAGCGAAAGCGUGGGGAGCGAACAGG